ACGAGUGGCGGACGGGUGAGUAAUGUCUGGGAAACUGCCCGAUGGAGGGGGGAUAACUACUGGAAACGGUAGCUAAUACCGCAUAACGUCGCAAGACCAAAGAGGGGGACCUUCGGGCCUCUUGCCAUCGGAUGUGCCCAGAUGGGAUUAGCUAGUAGGUGGGGUAAAGGCUCACCUAGGCGACGAUCCCUAGCUGGUCUGAGAGGAUGACCAGCCACACUGGAACUGAGACACGGUCCAG
rnacentral:rRNA from 1 species